ensembl:lncRNA
GCAGCAUUUGUGGACAUCAGCAACGUGCAGCCACAGGAAUGCAGUGACUGGGCAGACCUUGACAAAGGUCAAAAUAGAUGAAACUGCAGUUUGAUUCAGUGAGAAUCACUAUGCACAUAUAGAUGCUUUGGGACUACAGGUUACACUGCUAGUCUAAAUACAUGUGAAGUUUUUUGUUUGCUGUUCACAUGCAAAGUGCCACAAACACAUUUGUGUAACAAAUGUAAGCAACGAGCCAGCAGAGCAAGAUAUUUUGUCACCACUGCACAGCAGAUCAAUGAUGAUCUAUUCAUAUGCUGUUUCACCCAGGUGAAAUUUGGUUUCACCUACUGUUUGCUGUCACAGAGAUGUGUGAUAACUCAGCCAUCCAGCAGGAGUCCCAAUGCACCACCUAAAUCAGGUGUCAAAAAGAUGGAAAGUGAAGAAAGCAGAGUAAACUCAACGGCAGUUGGGGUUCUUGUUGGCUUUGGAAUCCUGUUCAUUCUAUUCACCAUAGGCAUUGUACAAUUCUGCUGCAAGUACAAAUGUAAAAAGUGUAAAAAAUGCUGCAAGAAAAAAGAGCCGUCAGUGAAAGACAAAGUGCUCACCAAAGUCGGCCUGAAGAAGGCUCCCCCUCCCUUCUCCAUUAGCAGAAGCAUAAAAUAACAUCUUGUCUGUGUUUCGAUCAUCACCUUGAUGGAAGGCAUUUAGUCGUUUGUCACGUUCCUACACACCACCUACCUUUUUUCAACACGUAUGGCUCUGUUCCUGCUUGUUAUUUGCUGCUUUAUGUUGGUGUAAAAACCUGAGGAAAACCCAGAGUGAGGGGUUUGUUUACCAUGUUACUUUUUGAUUCCUUUUGAUUAUAUUUGUAUCAUGCAACAACUUUAUUCUAUAGUUAUGUUUAAGAAAAUGCAAACUUUUUCUUGAAACAAGGAGAGGUGUUGCAUUUUUUUCUGUAUA